rnacentral:tRNA from 1 species
GCUCUACCGCGGCACGCCGGAGGUGCCAGGGCUGGUACUCGGCCUCGACCGCGGCGGCGCCUGUCGUGGGGUGGCGUUUCGGGUCGCCGGGCAGGAUGCC